UAAAGCCCUAUGUUUUGUACUGAGAAUACAAAGGUGAAGAAGUCAUGGUUUCCACUCCCCAAGUAUCACACUCUAGGGAGGAUGAAUGAUGUUUGAACAGAUGGUUACAAAGCAAGGUAAUAAAGGCAACAAUAGUUAAAUGCACGAAGUAUUCUGAGUAUCUUCCAUAGUCUAGGAAAGAUGUGAGUUGCUAAGGCUGCAGGGGAGGGAGGAGCACUGAUCAGGGUAAAUCCUUGUAAAGGAAAAAGAGGAGGUUAACUAUAUUUAAUAUGAACAGGGCAAGAAAUUGAGGCAUUGUGUCAGUGUUCCAAGUAAUUUGUCAUUACUUGAGGAUACAGAAUUAAAGGGCAUUGCAGGAGCUGAUGCUAGGAUUGUGCACAUCAGCUAGAUUAGGAAGGUCCCGGCACACAAUGCCAAGAAAAUUAGGCUCUGUUCUCUAGGUCUGGAAGCUAACAGAGACUCUAGCUGAAAGUUCAUGUGUGCAGUGUGAAGAAUCCCAGGUAUUUCUGUCAUGCUCUCCUGGUUCAGAACCAUAUAUUAAUUCCUUCAACAAAUAAUUGUCAUGUGCUCACCUUAGGUCAGGCAGUGUUCUGGGUACCAGGGAUCUGAUAUUGAAUAGUUAAAGUCAGCCUCCUUGUAGAGUAAUUGAUGGUUAACAAUUUGAAGAUUUUAGGUGAGAUUUUAAAACUUUCUGGCUGUUAUGUGAAGAAUGGGACCAAGACUAGGUAUAGGAAGACAAGUUAGGAGGCUCUUAAAGUAAUCUGAGAGGCUCUAAAGAUUGACAGUGAUAAUACUGGACAAAGGAGAUGAAUUAUAAAAAUAUUUAGGAGUAAAGUAAAUGGGACGUGAUUAUUGGAGGUAAGAUGAAUGGAGUUGGAGGAGGUGAGGAAAGAAAACGUUAAGAAUAAAUUCCAAGAUUUUAAUUUAGGUUAUUGAGUGAAUGUUGGCCCCACAAACCAAGAUAGAUAAUAAAUCAAAAGUAUUCAAUCUUUACCAAUGA
rnacentral:lncRNA from 10 species